rnacentral:rRNA from 1 species
CAAUAGCGUAUAUUUAAGUUGUUGCAGUUAAAAAGCUCGUAGUUGGAUUUGUGGUUCGUCCCGCCGGCUGGGUCAUUGACUUUUGCUGUGCUGGUCGUCCAUCCUUGGGUGGAAUCUGUGUGGCAUUAGGUUGUCGCGCAGGGGAUGCCCAUCGUUUACUGUGAAAAAAUUAGAGUGUUCAAAGCAGGCUUAUGCCGUUGAAUAUAUUAGCAUGGAAUAAUGAUAUAGGACCUUGGUACUAUUUUGUUGGUUUGCGCACUGAGGUAAUGAUUAAUAGGGACAGUUGGGGGUAUUCGUAUUCCAUUGUAAGAGGUGAAAUUCUUGGAUUUUUGGAAGACGAACUACUGCGAAAGCAUUUACCAAGGAUGUUUUCAUUAA